rnacentral:rRNA from 1 species
UGGGGAAUAUUGCACAAUGGGCGCAAGCCUGAUGCAGCCAUGCCGCGUGUAUGAAGAAGGCCUUCGGGUUGUAAAGUACUUUCAGCGGGGAGGAAGGGAGUAAAGUUAAUACCUUUGCUCAUUGACGUUACCCGCAGAAGAAGCACCGGCUAACUCCGUGCCAGCAGCCGCGGUAAUACGGAGGGUGCAAGCGUUAAUCGGAAUUACUGGGCGUAAAGCGCACGCAGGCGGUUUGUUAAGUCAGAUGUGAAAUCCUCGGGCUCAACCUGGGAACUGCAUCUGAUACUGGAAAGCUUGAGUCUCGUAGAGGGGGGUAGAAUUCCAGGUGUAGCGGUGAAAUGCGUAGAGAUCUGGGGGAAUACCGGUGGCGAAGGCGGCCCCCUGGACGAAGACUGACGCUCAGGUGCGAAAGCGUGGGGAGCAAACAGG